rnacentral:ncRNA from 1 species
AUAAAGUUGUUUUAUAAAAGUUAAUUCAAAAUAAAUAAAUUUAAUUAUGGUUUUUGAAUUAAUUAAAAAAUAUGUAUAUAUAUAAAUUUUUAAGAAUAAAAUUAAAUAUAAGGAAUAGUUAGUAUAUAAAAUUAAUAAAAUUUAAAUAUAUUUAAAUUUAGGUAUUUAUAAAAUUUAGAUAAAUAAUUGUGCCAGCAAUCGUGGUUAAACAAUAUAAGUAAAUUAAUUAAUAAUAAAUUAAAAUAAAGUAGAAGUUAAUUUAAUUAUAAAAAAUAAGAAGAUUUAUUUAGGUGAAAUUUAUUAAACUUUAAAUAUAUUAUAAAUAAAUAAAAAUGAAAUUUUUGAACUUUUCAAUAAAAACUAGGAUUAGAUACCCUAUUAUUAAAAUUAAAAUUUUAAAUUUGAAUAAUAAAUGAUAAAUCAUUAAAUUUAAAUAAUUUGGCGGUAUUUUAAUUUUAUUAGAGGAACUUGUUAUAUAAUUGAUAUUCCUCGUUAAGAGAAACUUUAAAAAAAAAUUUUUGUAUUGUUGUUUAAAGAAUAUUUUAAAAAAAAAUAUAUUUUUAAUAAUUAAAUUAAAUUGAAAAUUCAGAUCAAAAUGAAGUGAAUUUUAAAGAAUAAAUGAGUUACAAUAAAUUGAAAUUAAUGAUGAAUUUAUAAUUUAAAAAUUAUAAUGAAGGAGGAUUUAAAAGUAAGUUAAAAUAAUUAUUUUAAUUGAUUAAAAAUUUGAAAUAUGUACAAAUUGCCCGUCGUUCCCUUUGAAAAAAGGGGUAAGUCGUAACAAAGUAAAAGUACUGGAAAGUGUUUUUGGAA